rfam:Clostridium sp. KLE 1755 genomic scaffold Scaffold407, whole genome shotgun sequence.
CAUAUUUUUCAGGGGAGCUUGUGGAGCAGGCUGAGAGGAAGUAAUCCAACUUCGACCCUUAAACCUGAUUUGGGUAAUGCCAACGUAGGAAGAAGUUGCACAGCUUAC